UCAGGCUUUAUAACUCUUAUUUUGCUUUGUCACGUUCCAAACUUUUUCUUUUUGUCUUUCUUCUGCAUAAAUUUUGUUUCAGAUUUCUAAUUAUAACAUUGAUUCUUAUCGAACCACCUUGACAUCACCUCCUUCGGUCAAAAAGAAAGAAUCGAUGGUGAUGAGUCUCAUAGAGUAAUCGUUGCUUUACGUUUCUCCAAAUUUGUGUUGCUGAUGAGUGAUCGUCGUGUAGUCAUAUUCAUGUCCUCAUAAUCAGAUUUGCAUCAAGAAUAAGCUGAGAGUAAUCGAUACACAUUUUGAGUAUUUCCCCAAAUCUUAUUUAUCUUCUACUUGAAACAAUGGAGACCAAAGCAGAGAAGAAGAUCCUCACAAAGGAAGAACUUGAGCGGAAGAAAAGAAGGCUGUCAAGCGGUUGCGGUUACGGAUGCGCGAGUAUGUUGAUGUGGGUGGUUGCGGUUUCAAGCAUUAUUAUGCGUUUUGUAUGGCUGGUACAACGUUUGAAAAUUGUUUCGUUUGCAGAAUAUUUAUGACUGGUUGAUUAUACGAUAUUGCAGCGGUUUAAUAAUAAAUUACCCAUAUU